CAAAAGCGUAUAUUAAAGUUGUUGCAGUUAAAAAGCUCGUAGUUGAACCUUGGGCUUGGCUGGCCGGUCCAUCUUUUUUGAUGCGUACUGGACCCAGCCGAGCCUUUCCUUCUGGCUAGCCUUUUGGCAAACCAGGACUUUUACUUUGAAAAAAUUAGAGUGUUCAAAGCAGGCCUUUGCUCGAAUAUAUUAGCAUGGAAUAAUAGAAUAGGACGUUAUGGUUCUAUUUUGUUGGUUUCUAGGACCAUCGUAAUGAUUAAUAGGGACGGUCGGGGGUAUCAGUAUUCAGUUGUCAGAGGUGAAAUUCUUGGAUUUACUGAAGACUAACUACUGCGAAAGCAUUUACCAAGGACGUUUUCAUUAA
rnacentral:rRNA from 1 species